AAAGCAGUGGUUUGGCAAACACUAUACAGUGCCUUUCUGUUUACAUUGCUAUUAUCACCAGCUACAGGAGUAACCGACAAAAAAUGUAGAGGAAUACAAGAGUCCGCUAGAAAUGUGUCAAUGUGCCCUACCACAAAAGGAGACAUGAUAAAACGAGCAGCCAUUAAGAACUGUAAAGAUUUUUCCAAUUCCUGUGACGAACAGUUAGAAUACCAAUGUGUGCUCAAUGACCGUGGAACAGGCUUUGUUGAAGUCUGUUCGCCAGCGAUCAAGAUAAUCGGCGAAUUCUGUGCAGAAUUCAACGUCGGUUUAGGAGGAAUUCAACCACAAAAACAGAAAAGCUGCUUGGGAACAUGUCCAUUCGCUUAUAAUUCUACGGACA